rnacentral:rRNA from 1 species
CCUACGGGUGGCUGCAGUGAGGAAUAUUGGUCAAUGGUCGUAAGACUGAACCAGCCAAGUCGCGUGCAGGAUGACGGCCCUCUGUGUUUUAAACUGCUUUUGUAUGGGGGAAAAAUGCGUCACGUGUGAUGGUUUGUAGGUACCACAUGAAUACAGACCGCGUAAUUCCGUGCCAGCGGCCGCGGUAAUACGGAAGGUCCGGGCGUUAUCCGGAUUUAUGGGGUUUAAAGGGAGCGUAGGCCGCAGGUUAAGCGUGCCGUGAAAUGCCGUGGCUCAACCGUGGAACUGCGGUGCAAACUGGACGGCUGGAGUGCGGGGAAGGUAUGUGGAAUUCGUGGUGUAGCGGUGAAAUGCUUAGAUAUCACGAAGAACACCGAUUGCGAAGGCAGCAUACGGAAGCGCUACUGACGCUGAAGCUCGAAGGCGCGGGUAUCGAACAGGAUUAGAUACCCCGGUAGUC